CACGGGGCGGAGUUGACAGGAUCGGAGUAGGGGAGUCCGAGAGAUUGAAAGAGCGAAACUCUGAGAGGCGGUGGAAGGCAAACGGGAGCCCAGAAACAGAACAGAGAAGGUACUAGAGCGAGGAGAAAGAGAGGAAGGAUAACAAACAAGCGAGAGGAAGACAUUCCAGGAGCUGGCCAGGAACCAGGAAAGAGGCAGGCAACUUGCGACUGCCCGGGUAUCGGCCACCAGUGACCUCGGACCGCGGGGCGUGGCCCAGAGGCGUGGCCGGGGGCGUGGCCCGGGGCGAAAGGGCGUGGGCCAAGCUGCUGGGGCGGGGAGAUGGGCUGUGGGCGUGGUCUCCACGGAGCCGCCCCCGGGCUGAGCGCCUCGCCAGAGUCGGGCCGGGGCGCCGGGGCCGGGGGCGGCAGGCGCGGGCAGGAAGCGCCUCGCGGCCCGGGCCCCCCCCCCGCCUCUCGCCGCCUCCGAGCUCCCGGCUCCCGGCCGCGCCGCGCCCCAUGCACUCGCCGCGCCGCGCAGCCCGCGCUCGCCUGGAUGGCUCGUCGCGCCGCGGGCGGCGCACCCCCUAGCGCCCGGGCCGCCGCGGCCGUCCCCUUGCGUCCGCGCCCUCACUCGCGGGGCCCUGGUCUGCUGCCGCUGCCUCUGCUGCUGCUGCUCGGGGCGGCACGGGCCGGCGCCCUAGAGAUCCAGCGCCGUUUCCCCUCGCCCACGCCCACCAACAACUUCGCCCUGGACGGCACGGCGGGCACCGUGUACUUGGCGGCAGUGAACCGCCUGUACCAACUGUCGAGUGCCAACUUGAGCCUGGAAGCCGAGGCGACCGUGGGUCCCGUGCCGGACAGCCCGCUGUGUCACGCCCCGCAGCUCCCGCAGGCCUCGUGCGAGCACCCGCGGCGCCUCACGGACAACUACAACAAAAUCCUGCAGUUGGACCCGGGCCAGGGUCUGGUGGUCGCGUGCGGCUCCAUCUACCAGGGUCUGUGCCAGCUGAGGCGCCGGGGCAACAUCUCAGCCCUGGCCGUGAGCUUUCCGCCUGCCGCGCCGACCGCAGAACCGGUCACCGUGUUCCCCAGCAUGCUCAACGUGGCCGCCAACCACCCCAACGCGUCCACUGUGGGACUGGUGCUGCCGCCUACCUCGGGCACCGGGGGCAGCCGUCUGCUCGUGGGCGCCACGUACACCGGCUUCGGCAGCGCUUUCUUCCCGCGCAACCGUAGCCUAGAAGACCACCGCUUCGAGAACACGCCCGAGAUCGCUAUCCGCUCCCUGGACGCGCGUGGAGACUUGGCCAAGCUCUUCACCUUCGACCUUAACCCGUCGGACGAUAACAUCCUGAAGAUCAAGCAGGGCGCCAAGGAGCAGCACAAGCUGGGCUUCGUGCGUGCCUUCUUGCACCCGGCGGUGCCACCGCACAGCGCGCAGCCCUACGCGUACCUGGCGCUCAACAGCGAGGCGCGUGCGGGCGACAAGGACAGCCAGGCGCGCAGCCUGCUGGCGCGCAUCUGCCUGCCCCGCGGCGCGGGUGGCGACGCCAAGAAGCUCACCGAGUCCUACAUCCAACUGGGCUUGCAGUGCGCGGGCGGCGCGGGCCGCGGCGACCUCUACAGCCGCCUCGUGUCGGUUUUCCCCGCGCGCGAGCAGUUCUUCGCUGUCUUCGAGAGGCCCCAGGGCGCCCCAGGUGCCCGCAACGCCCCGGCCGCGCUUUGCGCCUUCCGCUUCGACGACGUGCAGGCUGCCAUUCGUGCAGCGCGCACCGCCUGCUUCGUGGAGCCGGCGCCCGACGUGGUGGCGGUGUUGGACAGUGUGGUGCAGGGCACCGGGCCGGCCUGCGAGAGCAAGCGCAACAUACAGCUGCAGCCGGAGCAACUGGAUUGCGGAGCGGCCCACCUGCAGCACCCACUGACCAUCCUGCAGCCGCUGAGGGCAUCGCCCGUGUUCCGUGCUCCAGGGCUCACGGCCGUGGCUGUGGCCAGUGCCAACAACUACACGGCCGUCUUUCUGGGCACCGCCACAGGGAGGCUCCUCAAGAUCAGCCUGAACGAGAGCAUGCAGGUAGUAAGCAGGCGAGUGCUGACUGUAGCCUAUGGGGAGCCUGUGCAUCACGUCAUGCAGUUUGACCCCAUGGAUCCUGGUUACCUAUACCUGAUGACAUCCCACCAGAUGGCCCGAGUGAAGGUGGCAGCGUGUGAGGUACACUCCACCUGCGGGGACUGCGUGGGUGCGGCCGAUGCCUACUGUGGUUGGUGCACUCUGGAGACCCGGUGCACACUCCAGCAGGAUUGCACCAACUCCAGCCAGCCACAUUUCUGGACCAGUGCCAGUGAGGGCCCCAGCCGCUGCCCUGCCAUGACAGUACUGCCCUCGGAGAUUGAUGUGCACCGGGACUACACAGGUAUGAUCUUACAGAUCUCAGGAAGCCUGCCCAGCCUCAGCGGCAUGGAGAUGGCUUGUGACUAUGGAAAUGGCGUUCGAACGGUGGCCCGGGUACCUGGCCCUGCCUAUGAUCAUCAGAUUGCCUACUGCAAUCUCCUGCCCAGGGCCCAGUUUCCAUCCUUUCCUGCUGGCCAGGACCACGUGACCGUUGAGAUGUCUGUAAGGGUCAAAGGACACAACAUUGUCUCAGCCAAUUUCACCAUCUACGACUGCAGCCGAAUUGGACAAGUCUACCCCCAUACAGCCUGUACCAGCUGCCUGUCCACACAGUGGCCUUGCUCCUGGUGCAUCCAGCUGCAUUCAUGUGUCUCCAACCAGUCUCAGUGCCAGGACUCGCCAAACCCCACGAGUCCUCAGGACUGUCCCCAGAUCCUGCCCUCGCCCCUAGCGCCCGUGCCCACAGGUGGCUCCCAAGACAUCCUGGUGCCCCUGACUAAAGCCACCUUCUUCCAUGGUUCCUCCCUCGAGUGCAGCUUUGGGCUGGAAGAGAGCUUUGAGGCUGUAUGGGCGAAUAACUCACUGGUCCGCUGCAACCAAGUGGUGCUGCACACAACCCAGAAGAGCCAGGUAUUUCCACUGAGUCUGAAGCUGAAGGGGCCGCCAGACCGAUUCCUAGACAGCCCUAACCCCAUGACAGUUGUGGUCUACAACUGUGCUAUGGGCAGCCCUGACUGUUCCCAGUGCCUGGGCCGUGAGGACCUGGGUCACCUCUGUGUUUGGAAUGAUGGCUGUCGUCUAAGAGGGCCCCUGCAGCCACUCCCUGGCACCUGCCCAGCCCCUGAAAUCCGAGCGAUUGAGCCUCUGAGUGGCCCCUUGGACGGUGGGACUUUGCUGACCAUCCGUGGCAGGAACUUGGGCCGUCGGCUCAGUGAUGUGGCACAUGGUGUGUGGAUUGGCAGUGUGGCCUGUGAACCCCUGGCUGACAGAUACACCGUUUCAGAGGAGAUCGUGUGUGCCACAGGGCCUGCCGCAGGGGCCUUCUCAGACGUGGUAACGGUGAACGUCUCCAAAGAAGGCAGGUCUCGGGAACAGUUCUCCUAUGUGCUGCCCACAGUCCACUCACUGGAGCCUUCCAUGGGCCCAAAGGCCGGGGGUACAAGGAUCACCAUUCACGGCAGUGACCUCAACGUGGGCUCUAUGCUCCAGGUCCUGGUGAAUGACACGGACCCCUGCACAGAUCUUACGCGCACAGCCACCAGCAUCACCUGCACUGUGCCAGGGGGUACCCUGCCCUCUCCAGUGCCUGUGUGUGUGCGCUUCGAGAGCCGGGGCUGCGUGCACGGAAACCUCACCUUCUGGUACAUGCAGAACCCAGUCAUCACAGCCAUCAGCCCAGGCCGCAGCCCUGUCAGUGGCGGCAGGACCAUCACUGUGGCUGGCGAACGCUUCCACAUGGUGCAGAAUGUAUCAAUGGCUGUACACCACAUUGGCCGGGAGCCCACGUUCUGCAAGGUUCUCAACUCCACACUCAUCACCUGCCCAUCUCCUGGAGCCCUGAGCAAUGCUUCGGCGCCUGUAGACUUCUUCAUCAAUGGCCGGGCAUAUGCAGACGAGGCAGCCGAGGAGCUGCUGGACCCUGCAGAGGCACAGAGGGGCAGCCGGUUCCGCCUAGACUACCUCCCCAACCCACAGUUCUCCACAGCCAAGAGGGAGAAGUGGAUCAAACAUCACCCAGGAGAGCCGCUCACCCUCGUCAUCCAUAAGGAGCAAGACAGCCUGGGGCUGGAGAGCCAUGAGUACCACAUCAAGAUUGGCCAGGUGUCCUGCGACAUCCAAAUCAUCUCAGACAGAGUCAUCCACUGCUCAGUCAAUGAGUCGCUGGGCACGGCUGAAGGACAGCUGCCCAUCACAAUCCAGGUGGGGAACUUCAACCAGACCAUCGCCACACUGCAACUGGGGGGCAGCGAGACGGCCAUUGUGGUGUCCAUCGUCAUCUGCAGUGUCCUGUUGCUGCUGUCUGUGGUUGCUCUGUUCGUCUUCUGCACCAAGAGCCGCCGUGCCGAGCGCUACUGGCAGAAGACCCUGCUGCAGAUGGAAGAGAUGGAGUCUCAGAUCCGAGAGGAGAUCCGUAAAGGCUUUGCGGAGCUGCAGACAGACAUGACGGAUCUCACCAAGGAGCUGAACCGCAGCCAGGGCAUCCCCUUCUUGGAGUACAAGCACUUCGUGACUCGAACCUUCUUCCCCAAGUGCUCUUCCCUCUAUGAAGAGCGGUAUGUGCUGCCCUCGAAGACCCUCAACUCCCAGGGUGGCUCCCCGCCACAGGAAACCCACCCACUGCUGGGAGAGUGGAACAUCCCUGAACACUGUCGGCCCAGCAUGGAGGAGGGGAUCAGCCUGUUCUCCUCACUGCUCAACAACAAGCACUUCCUCAUCGUCUUCGUCCAUGCUCUGGAGCAGCAGAAGGACUUCGCAGUGCGUGACAGGUGCAGCCUGGCGUCCCUGCUGACCAUCGCGCUGCACGGCAAGCUGGAGUACUAUACGAGCAUCAUGAAGGAGCUGCUCGUGGACCUCAUCGACGCCUCGGCGGCCAAGAACCCCAAGCUCAUGUUGCGGCGCACGGAGUCUGUGGUGGAGAAGAUGCUUACCAACUGGAUGUCCAUCUGCAUGUACGGCUGCCUGAGGGAGACAGUAGGUGAGCCGUUCUUCCUGCUGUUGUGUGCCAUCAAGCAGCAGAUCAACAAAGGCUCCAUCGACGCCAUCACAGGCAAAGCCCGCUACACACUCAACGAGGAGUGGCUGCUGAGGGAGAACAUUGAGGCCAAGCCCCGGAACUUGAACGUGUCCUUCCAGGGCUGUGGGAUGGACUCCCUCAGCGUGCGGGCCAUGGACACCGACACGCUGACGCAGGUGAAGGAGAAGAUCCUGGAAGCCUUCUGCAAGAACGUCCCCUACUCACAGUGGCCGCGGGCGGAGGACGUGGACCUUGGUGGGCAAGGGCGGGCACCAUGCCUCGCAGCUGGCUGCUGCAGCCUCUUUCCUGUAAUGGUUUGCCUCGAGUACCCAGAGCUACGUCCUCCGGGACCUGGAUGACACAUCAGUGGUGGAGGACGGCCGUAAGAAACUGAACACACUGGCCCACUACAAGAUACCUGAGGGCGCCUCCCUAGCCAUGAGCCUCACAGACAAGAAGGACAGUACCCUGGGCAGAGUGAAAGACUUGGACACAGAAAAGUAUUUCCAUUUGGUGCUACCUACGGAUGAGCUGGUAGAGCCUAAGAAAUCUCACCGGCAGAGCCACCGCAAGAAAGUAUUGCCAGAGAUCUACCUGACCCGCCUGCUGUCCACCAAGGGCACGCUGCAGAAGUUCCUAGAUGACCUGUUCAAGGCUAUCCUGAGCAUCCGAGAGGACAAGCCCCCGCUGGCUGUCAAGUAUUUCUUUGACUUCCUAGAGGAACAGGCGGAGAAGAGAGGCAUCUCCGACCCUGACACCCUGCAUAUCUGGAAGACCAACAGCCUUCCCCUGCGCUUCUGGGUGAACAUCUUAAAAAAUCCCCAGUUUGUCUUCGACAUAGAGAAGACGGACCACAUCGACGCCUGCCUGUCUGUCAUCGCACAGGCCUUCAUCGAUGCCUGCUCCAUCUCUGACCUGCAGCUGGGCAAGGACUCACCCACCAACAAGCUUCUGUACGCGAAGGAGAUCCCUGAGUACCGGAAGACCGUACAGCGCUAUUAUAAACAGAUCCAAGACAUGACGCCGCUCAGCGAGCAGGAAAUGAACGCACACCUGGCCGAGGAGUCUCGGAAAUACCAGAAUGAGUUCAACACAAACGUGGCCAUGGCUGAGAUUUAUAAAUAUGCUAAGAGGUAUCGACCACAGAUCAUGGCUGCCCUGGAGGCCAACCCCACAGCCCGCAGGACCCAGCUACAGCACAAGUUUGAACAGGUGGUGGCUCUGAUGGAAAACAAUAUCUAUGAGUGUUACAGCGAGGCCUGAUGCAGAAGAGUGACCAGGAGCUUCGGCCAGGGAGACGGCGUGCAGGCCACUUGGCCUCCACUUGGUUUCUUCCCCACAUCUCUCACUUGGGCUGGGAACUGACAGAGGAGCCUGCUGGGCUAGGAGUGGGGGACACUGGCCUCUUAGUGCCCGGCUGCCGAGCUCUUGGCCUUGUCCCCUGGGGCAUCUCUGUCCCCUCCACCUGCCCAAGACCCAACUCUAGGAUGAAGGCCUUGAAUAUCGAUCGCUGCCAGUCCCUAAUAAGACUUUCCCUGCCAACCAGGACAGCCUGGACCAUGCCUGCCUGUUCACUGUUUCAGGCUGCUCAGCACACAUUGGGAGAGGUGGCCAUAUCCCAGAACACUACCUCAUCCACCUGGCAGAGGGAAUUUCUGCUUCAGCCACCAAGCAGUUGUCUGUGUCCCUCAUCCAGAGGGGGCCUUGGCCACCAACAGUUCCAAACCAGGUCAGCUGUUAGCCGUCUCAUUGGCCAGUGGCAGCAUGGGCAGUGCCCAUUGCCCACAGAACGGUGGAGAGAGGGGGACAGGCUGGGGGGUUCCUGGCCCCAGGAAAGGGAGGAAGGCGAGGAUGCAGGGCUGUAGCUGGACUACUCAGUCUUCCUGGAAGUGUUUCUAAAGAGCACCACUUUUUUUUGAUUUUUAAGAAAAAAAAACUUUUAUAUAUUAAAACAAAAACUUAUGCACCAACUGUGAAUAGCUGCCGCUUGUGCAGAUCCCCAGGGGCUCCCGGUGACACACUGGAAAUGACUGUUCCAGGGGACAGAAAAUACUCAUCUGUCCCCAGCACAGCCCCCACCCCACCCCCCAUAGCUGCUGAGACUGGCUCACAGCCCAAGGGGGCUGGGCUGGAGGGGAAGGCUGGGACUCUCUGGAACAUUCUUUAUAAUAAAAGCCUGCCGGGAAAACCUA